rnacentral:rRNA from 2 species
UUGACCUCAAAUCAAGUAGG